CCAAACGUACCGUUUUUUCGACCUUUUUGGAUUGUCCCGUCUUUUUAUCAAUUUGUACCGUAUUUUGAGCAUAGAGAAGAAAUACAGUAGGACCCCGAUUAUCCGCGGAAUAGUCGGGCUAGCUCACCGCGAAUAACGAAAAUCGCGGAUAACACAAUAAAAAACUAAAAUGAGUUCCAAACACGAAAAAGGAUAUUUAAGCAUCAAAACUAUGUUUUAUCAAUACAGAAAUCAUUAAACUAUCCUUCUACAAGGUAAUGUACACUGUAAACGCAAGCGUUUCAAGCGCCACCGUGCCCUAGAAAGUUACAUAUGGGAACAUUGUUAUGGAUCGUAGUGUAGUUACAGAUGGGAACACUGUUAUGGAGCGUAGUGUAUUAACAGAGGGAACGGAAAUGUCAAAGGAAGAAUAGAUAGUCAUUCGUAAAAAUAUUUUUGAUUGUUGAAGUUGGUGUGUGAAUGGUAAUCGAGCAACUAGAGGACAUUUCACAUUAAUUUCGAGGAAAUCAAAUUAGCUGAGUUGAGAGAAUCAGGGGUUAUAGGUUAUAGGCCGUUACUGAAUUUCUUUAAAGCUUCGUUCGAGGUGUCAAUAAAUUUAGAAGAGUCAUUUGCAGAUUAAUUUCGAGGAAAUCAAAUUAGCUGAGUUGAAAGAAUCAGGGGUUAUAGGUUAUAGGCCGUUACUGAAUUUCUUUAAAGCUUCGUUCGAGGUGUCAAUAAAUUUAGAACAGCUAAAUGAACAGUGUCUUGGAUGAUUUUAAUCCCUGAUUUCCACUAGCAACAGUACACCAAUGACCAGAUAAUGUGAAAGCCAUGGUCAAAACCAAAGUGCAUGAGCCUAUCACUCACUGACAAAUUCCGGGAAGGCCUAUAGGUUUACUAUGGUUCGCGCUAUCGCGGAUAAUUGGGGUUCCACUGUAUGUAUAAUAAUGUCCUGUUGUACUACUAUUUAUUUGACAACUCAUGCCUUAAAUUGUUUCUCACCAGAGAUUAGUUAGCGAUCCUUCGAACAUUUAUUCGCCUUGUUGAAGGAGACGAUGUAUCUGCCUCUAAUGUUGCUGUUAGUUCCUCAUCAUAAAAGAGAUGAAGUAUUUUUAACCACUGAAGUCCAAAAAAAUAUAGAGGGUUGUGUCCAAGAAAAGAUCACAUUGUUGAUGCGGGAUUACGGAUUACGCUUGUUUACCAUUUCAGCUGCAGAGGGGGUAGAAAGACCGGUACCUUACUGUCUUGUGAUUUCCUUUUUAGUCACUGCAAUAGUUUAGUCGAUUGAACAUUAGGGAUUCGUCAGACCCGCCUUUUUAUCAAAACUAUCAGUGAUUGAGAAACAAAGAAACAUUAUGACAUUUCUCACUCAGAACCGGUCCCGGAUUUGUAAAGCAAUUAGAGCGAGUUCAAACUAUGUUAUUGAUACAAAAAGCGCAAUUCUGGCGGCACAAUUGAAAUGUAUAGGAGUUGGAGAUCACCUGAAAAUGUGUAACGAGUAAGAGUUUCAAUUGAGCAGUCAUUGAGACGGUCUGACAGUCUUUCUGUAUUUGGUGGCUGCCAAUCCAAAGAAACCCAAUGCAUUAUGUUUACACUCUCCAAAGGUUACAGUAUAAAGAUUUGGAACUGUUUGAGCAUCUGAGACCGAUUCAGCGGAACGAUUUUGCUUUUGAAGUUUGUAUCGAGCAAACCCGUUGUGGGUGACAUCAAUGUUAGGUGAGACUGCUAACUGAUCGCUAGUUGGAGCCAGACUAAGUAUUAGAAAUCGUAAACGGCUUUUUUAAAUCUAAUAAGUUAAAAACGGAUGGAUGCAAUCAUUCUUCUCUCCACAGUGUCCGUAUUAAAGAAAGUUGCAUUUACAUUUCUAGCGAGCGAUUUACGAACGCCUAAUUAUACCUCACGGCUAUCCCCAUUCCUCGGAAUAGAAUAUUCCAAUUUUUAAUAAUUCAAACCAUUUAAGGAUUAGAGAAUCGUAAUGUAUAAAUUAUCAAAAAACUCUCCGGGAAUUUCCAAUUUAUUUCGCGACAAAAAUAGUUAUCAACUUUAAAACUAUUUCAUGAACUCGUGACAAGUUUUCUGAUUUGGUAAGAUUUUCUGAUUUAGAAGGAGGUAGCCCUGCGUCAAAAAUAGUUGAUUUAGGUGAAAUACAGGAGGCAACAUGUCUUAAAAUUAUGAACAAUUUUUACGAUACUGCGUUAGAGAACAUUGAAAAAUGGAAGGCUACCCAGCAAACAUUAAAUCGCAUAACAAGCGUAUAUAUAACAUCAUAUGCCCUAAAAUUUGGUUGGCAUAUAAUGUCGAGAUGGAAAAUGAAAGGUGGGAAGAUUUUUUAAAUCUGUGACGUCACAGAUUUAGUUUAUGUAUGUUACUUUUCUUAUGAUAGUCCACUACAUAGGAAAAGUGUUGUAUUUAAAAGUAAAAAUAAGCAAAUGAAAUGAACGAACUACAUUUUUUUUCCUAAAUCAAUGCUAGCGUUCAAAAUCAUAAGGGCCCGACAUUUUAACAGAAACUGAAAUUUCAGUACUUUUGAAGUGUUCUAAACUUAAUUUCAAUUCAAUUUUACUUCUCGUUACGUCGACCAAAAACGUAAACGAACAAAGUCAGAGUCACGCAAUCUUUUGUUCCUUUGCCGGAAAAACAUUUGACAGUGCAUGGGAUAAAAGGUUGCAAGUUUUUUUUUCAUGUAAAAUGAACAUGAAAAAUAAAUUUAAUUGACUCCGUAUGACUUAGAUUGAGACGAAAAGUUUUCCGCUGGCGUCUUAGUUUUAGACGACUGAAGUUUUCAGCACCCUAAUUGUGAAAAAAGUAAUUACAAUUGCUGAUAAAAGUCAAACUUCCAUGAAGUUGCUCUAGAAUCCAAACAUAGAAUACUAUUUCGGAUAUCAAAGUAAAAAUUAAACAUUUUAGUUCGUGAUGUUGUUUAUUUUCAUGGUGCAAAAAUAUGAUUUGGAAAUCUGUAAUUAGUUUCUGUAUAUCCUCUUUCAACGUUAUUCGUUGACACAUUCAAUUUUGUACCAUUUGAGUAACUGACUGGUAUGCCUGGUAUGUGAACUUCAUAUCUUCCUGGCUACUAACACAAUCAAAGUUCAACACAACCAAAACUCGUGAAUCUUCCCACCUUCUAUUCUUCAUCUCGAUAUAAUGUGCCUAACUGGCAUAUGCAUGCAAAAGUGGAGGCCAUAUACAUACAUGGCAAAUGCUUACCAAAUUUGUUUGGAUGAAUAUGCAACUUUGACCGGCUAUAAAAGCGAUUAUGUUGAAUUGAAUUGCGAUCUAAUAUGAAUAUAUUCAUGAAUUGUCAAAGCACCAAAUACGACUUUUGCCAUACUCAUAUACGAUUUAUUACAAACAUAGAAAAAAACAAAUAGCGCAAAAUAUUUCUGUUGGGGAGCCUGUCCGUAAAACUUCGAUAACUCUAUUACAGGCCCCCAACAUCGAAGGGAAAUCCAUUCCCGAACCACAAACAUCCUCUUACCGUCGACGAAUAACAAAAACCACCAAUUGCCUCGAACACAAUGCCGACUGUAAGCAACACACGAACGACCAGCUAAACCAAAUGUUUCUUUUCCGAUUGCUCAUAAACAAACACUAAACUAUGCUGACACAAAUUACGUUUUAUAAUUAACAACAUUUAAAAAUACAUAUAUUAACAAGAAAUCGAUUUCACAAUAUUCCAAAAACAAUUCACACAAGUAAUGUUUAUCCUGUUGUGGACCGAACUGGACUGAUUCUGCUCCACAGAAUUCCAAUUUACUGCUUGCGAUCGCUGCUUGUAUGUGUUCCAUCCUAUGCGAUGUUAUGCUUUGCUAUCGGUCUUCAGCAGAACGAUGGAAAUAUUCACCACUGUGAUCUUCUGGUUAUUGUUCAGCAUCACAGCGGUGAGCGAAAGCCCAAUAGGAGCGAGCGGUAAAUGGUUUGUUUUCGCUCCCUUCCACUCUAGCACAUGAGGAGAACGAAUCAAUAUUACCGCUAUUUGUUGGUGCUCAUCAGCUGUUGUUUCCCGUUCUACUGUCUGGUCUAUUUUUUGGAAUCCAGACAGUCGAUUGUUUAGGGAAUUCCCGGAUCAGGGCUGUAACAAGGGUGCUACUCCCAAACAAUUUCCGUGAAAUGUUUAUUAUAGCCUCACGAAUCGCCAUUUUUAUAUAUAUGUAUAUUGGUGUUCGUAGAAAUAAUAAUUGUUUGAUUGACAUGUGUUGGGCGUGGAAUAUGAAUGUUUAAAAUUGCACAGAUUGAUGUUUGAUGAAAACUGCUCCGAUGUUGGUUCGAACUCCGGUCAUCUGGAUUAUCAUCCACCAGCUAUCUCGCGCGACUAUCUGAAAUUUAAUUCAACAGCGGUUAAAACUUUCGAGUGCAUCAGCAUUUGAUGCGCAUAUGAUGCGGAUUAAAUAUAUUUUACGACAAUAUACAUCAUAAAAUUGAUGUUUCUUAUACCGAAUUGCGACUUAAUUUGAUGAUGGCAUAUAAAAUCGAGUUUUUACAUUUUAUGCAAUCUCAAAUAUACACGAUACAUACUUUGUUUGAUAUUAUAUGCGAUUCUGAUUUAUUCGGAUUUCUUGUAAUACUUGGCACGUGCAAAAUUAUACGAUUUAAUGUUUGCUGGGUAUUCUUUUGUUUUUGAGAGGCUUUAAACUUUUCAGUUCAUUCGCCUUUAAACGCAAUGUCAAUGUUGUUUGAAGAGAGAAAUUUUAAAAAACAUUCACCUCGACUGUUUAUAUCAGUACUACUCCACAAAGUGUGAUAGGCAUUGGCAUAUUAUGUCGGAUCUUCCCUUGGCGGUUGGUAUCUCAACUCUGAACCGAUUCAGAUGAUCGACAUAUCAAAAUAAAGCCGGUUAGCUGGCUUUUGAAAUUACACUAGCAGAAAAAUUUACUUGAUUUCCCAUGUACUGGUAUUAAAAACGCCUGCAUCAGCGCAAGACGGAAAAAAAUUAUUUGGCAACCAAUUUCCCCGUUUUUUUACACCGCUACCCUAUCUGCCCCAGCAACUAUCCGGAAGUCAACAUACGGGAUUGUUUUUGAUAGUAUUUUUAGUUGUUUGAUAGGCAGCUGCAAACACACUAAUGCUUUUGUUACGUUGCGUAUAAAACGAGUAUUUUAUUCAAAAUGGAAGUCAAUCAAAUAACGAUGCCUAAUGUUGAGGAUUUUUACAUUAAUUUUCACUGUAUUGAUUAGAAACAAUUGUUAAUUUGUUACAUCUAUAUUUCAUUAUUUUACAACGAUAUGUUACAUUUUUAUUAUGUUCAAUUCCGCUUAUUCCUAAAUUUUUUUUUAUAUGUAUUAUGUACCGGGAAGCUUCAGUAAUCGAUUGUAAAUAAUACUAUUCAUUUGCUUUUUGAUUGUCAGCAAUUAUUAUUCUUAUAAACAUAAUUCAAUUGUAUUGAAUGUGGACGUUUGCGUAUAUUUAACAAUUAACUCAAAUUAAAACAUGAUUGAAAUAUCGAAUGAAAUCUUUAGUUUUGUCUUCGUUAUUAUUUUUAAUAUGUUCUCGGAGUAUCUAAUUGAAUUUCACGAUUUUCUCUAAAAUUGCCAAAUAUUUACAACACACCUAAGCCCUCUUGGUACUCCUUUCUAUGUCAAAUAUGGGCAUGAUUUGUUAGCUACCGAACAAACAUUUUCAAUAAGAGAACUUAUUGACUCUGAAAUAUUUCAGAGAUAUUAAUGUAAUCUCGAAUAUAACUUUUUUUUGCAUCCAAUGAACGAACAGAAAUAGUGUGCUUGAGAAGAACAGUGGUGUAAAAGGUAGUACUGCUACUGUUUUGUCCUACUGAUUUACAUGUUACUUGAUGGCCCUCGUGGACGGUGACCAUGCAGUCCGGAAUGUCUCGAUCCCGGGCGACUGUGCACUAUCGCAUAAUGGUCAGAAUCUAUCGGUAAUGAUCGAUUCGAAUGAAUUGUACUUCCUCCGCUGGUGUAACCCUUAUUGUGACCACCAUCACGACCGUGCAGUGAAUAUCGUGAACCAUACUGGGAACCAUGCCAGCUUCUAUAUGGGUCGUACUCUUCUAUUAUUGAUGGCUCUUUUUCGAUUAUCUACACCAAAUGUAAUGAAUGUAAGAGGUCUUCGAUGCUAGAAAAAUGUUGAUUUAAAUUUACCUCAGUUCUCGCACAACUACAGCUCAUAGCAGUACAAAGGAAGAUGUUCAUUAACAACAUUAUUAGGAACAAUACUGCCAGAGCGAUCGUUAGCCAAAGUAGCCAAUGUGGUCGAACACUGUUGUCUUCACAAAGAGGUCCAAGAGCUGUGAAAAAAGGUUAAACAGUUGUUUCUCACAUGUUAUCAAAAUACUAACCCUUGGCAUCAAUUGGAUCCAGUAUAAAAAUUGUAGAAGCAGCCAACAGUAUUCCUUCUUCGGCUUGCCCCAACGUUCGUCCGGAAUUUGUGGCAACGGAUGCAUCCUCUAAACAUGCGCUAUCCUCAAUAACAGGACAGAGACCAUUACACUGAACGACGUCACAUUGGAUGUGUACCUCGGAUCCUGGAAUAUAGAAACAUUAGUAUUUGUGUAUGAACAUCCAAUAUUAUUUUCAGUUUCUAUUACCUUCUGGGAAUCGAAACAUCGUAUUCAACAUGGCAACGGCUGUCGUUCCGUUUGAAGCAGUUUUGAACCUUGUCAUAAUUGUUGUUCCACUGUUGAUAACUGAACAUCUUGAAAAAAAAUGACAAACCAGGUUAUGUUUUUAGUUUCAAUUUGUUUGUACUUGUUAUACCCUCGCUCAUCGAUUAAUGCAAUACUGCUAUUUUUCUUAUUGAAAGCAAAGCAGUUUUUCACCCUGAUUCCCUGCGUUCCGUUCGGAUGGGUUACUUCCGCCUUCACUGUAUAUUUGCGUCCAUACACAGUUUCCUGAAUUCGGCGAUCAUUCUCGAAGAAUUUUAGAGCCACUGGUGAGUUAUCAUCCCUGUAAUGAGGUUAUUAAGAGUAAAUAUAUAUUUUAUAUAUCGACUACGAGAGUUUAAAGGUAGCAAAAUUACCUAGCGAAGCCGGUUUUCCCACAUGUGAUAACAUAGAAUUUGUCGUCAGCAAGUUCCAAUGUCUUGUGAACACGAACAGCUAGCUGUACGGAACGUUCUUCAGAUCGCUAUAAAAGGAAUAUCGAAAAAAAAAUUUGAGUUUCUUUAUACUUCAGAUUUAUUCAUAAGGAAACUUUCAAUACACUUGUAAUAAUAAAUAAAUAUUCAACAAAAAAGGAUUCAGGUUUAGUGAUAUCUUUGACAUGAAGAUUCGUUAAGGACAUUCGUAUUCUCGAACUUGCUACGAUGAUCUAUGAAUGUUAGUGCCAUCUAGGAGGAGAAAGAUGCCUUAGUAGAAUGCCAACUAAACGCUAUUCCUUUAUCAGAAGCAUGAAAGAGUUCAUUGGAAGAUUCAACUUCAGAACCGCAAUGACGGCCAAUGCUCAAAAUUUAGAUAAAAAUUUUUAUUCCCAAUCAAAACGAUGCAUUGUCAGGAACAGAAAACACGUUUUUAAUGUUUUGGUCAUCACGAAAUACAGUUACUCAAAUCCGUAAUCGUACUCCACCAUGCAGAUCUCUUUUCCUUUCUUUUGAAAGUCAAAAACAAGCUUUCGGAACAUUCUAUUUAGAUACAAUUAUAGUGUCAUAUGAGAGUUAAAAGAGUUGCUAUAUGUUUUCAGAAUAAUGGUUUUUAUUUCUCUAAAAAUGGCGAAUGUAUGCGCUAAUGUAAGAAAAUUGACUCAAACUCAUAAUCGUACGCUGGUUGGAAUCUCUACUCGAUUUCGAAGGCGUUGGCCAAUUUCCGAAUUCCAUCAUUAGUAUGGUAUCCCUUGUUCAUUGCAACUAUCUUUAGUUGUCUUUAGUCUUAUCUACGAGCUAUUGGUGUAUCCAGCAAGUAUAUUUAUUAUUUUUUUUCAUUAUCGUUAUUUUUAGAAAUUUAAUGGUUUCUAAAUUUCCUACAUAGAUAACUUCCUUAGUUUUUUACUGGGAUUGAUGUCGGAAGAUUGUGGGGGAAUAUCAAUAACUUUUGAGUAAUUGUAAUGUAACCAUGUGCGAACUUCAUAUGACUUGAGCUCUGGGUUAUUGUCUUGGCAAAACUUGAAUCCUCGAUUCCAUCUCAUUUUGUUCACACUUUGCUACAUACUACACCUUUAGGAUGUUCAAGUAAACAUUCUGAUCCAUUACACCAUCGAUAAAAACCAUUUUCAUCGAUGGUGUAUUGGGUCAGAAUGUUUACUCGAUCAUCCUGAAGGAAAAUAUAAUAUGAAGCAAAGUAUCAACAAAAUGGGUUCGAAUUGAGGAUUCAAAUUUUGCCAAGACAAUGACCCAGAGCAGGGGGUCUUCGUAGCCACUUGGUUUCGCGUUCGCUUAAUAAGCGAUCGAUCGUGAGUUCAAACUCAGGGCCCUCAAUUGACCAUCUUUGUGUUGUUAUAGGAUAACUACGUCCACGCAACCAUCAUAUCAGCUAUGGAGAUCGAUCCACGGUGGAACAAAGAUCGAUUCAUCCAUACAACUGCUCUGCUCUGCAAGAAACAUCGGGCUGCUGUUCUAUAAAUAACCCAACAAUGAUCGAUUUCAACUGUCUCCGCUGUCCAAUGGAAGAACAGAUAGAAUACCCUUACGCCUAAAUGGCUACUACAGUGUAAUUCACCAUAAUGUAAUGGAACAGAAAACCUAACGCCUAAAUGGCUACUCUACUACUGUGUAAUUUACAAUUUAUAGAAACAUAAUUAUAUGCACAUGUACAAGAUAAAAACGCGGCUCUGUUACAGAUAAAAUGCUAAUGAGCCUGAUAAAUAAAUAAAUGGGAUAAAAAAAAAUGACCCAGAGCUCAAGACAUAUGAAGUUCGCACAUGGUUACAUUUCAAUUACUCAAAAGUUAUUGAUAUUCCUCCACAAUCUUCCGACAUCAAUUCCAGUAAAAAACUAAGGAAGUUAUCUGUGUAGGAAAUUUUGAAACCAUUAAAUUUCUAAAAAUAACGAUUUUAAAAACCACAUAAUGAAAAAAUUGAUAAAUAUACCUUCUGAAUACACCAAAAAACUCGUAGAUAAGGCUAAAGACAACUAAAGAUAGUUGCAAUGAACACGGGAUACCAUACUUAUGAUGGAAUUCGGAAAUUGGCCAACACCUUCGAAAUCGAGUAGAGAUUUCAACCAGCGUACGAUUAUGAGUUUGAGUCAAUUUUCUUACAUUAGCACAUACAUUCGCCACUUUUAGAGAAAUAAAAACCAUUAUUCUGAAAACAGAUUGCAACCCUUUUAACUCUCAUAUGACACUAUGAUUUUAUCUAAAUAGAAUUUUCCGAAAGCUUGUUUUCGACUAUCAAAAGAAGGGAAAAGAGAUCUGCAUGGUGGAGUACGAUUACGGAUUUGAGUCACUGUAUGUAAAUUGUUUUGGACGACUGAAUGCUGUAUUUAAAUUUUUACGUCAUACUGCAUCCAUGUGUAGUGAAUUUAACUUAUCAUUUUUACGGAUCGUCAAUGCCAUGCGUAUAUUACAACCACCUGCAUUCAUUCGAGAAUAAAAAAAAACUCGUUUCUAGGGUAUCAUUUCAUGCUCUCUAUUGAACAAAUAGUGACAUCUAUGCGGCAGCAGACUGUGUGGAACAAUGCAUGGACGAGCAGAAAAACUCUUAUUGAAAAAACCCACUCUAUUUAUUAUUACGCAAACAUUUUUGCACCAUAAAUCAAUUCUAUCUUAACACUUUCCGGGCCGCUCUCGGGUUUGUGUGAAGUUAGCAUGUGAAAGUUUUUGUUGCGUGCAAGUUUCUGUUCAACGUCCUGCUGGAUUUCAUGAACAAUGAAUUAUUUCAGUUUAAAUAAAUUAAUUGUUUAUCAAGUAACAUCUUUCACAAUCAUGUUCAUUAGAUAGAGAAUUGAAUCAUUAAUCUUUCCACAUAAUUCAUUUUUUUUCUUGAUCGUGACAAAGAAAUGUUACAGACUGAAACGUGAGCAUGGGUCAAUAUAGGAAAAUAUACAGAAUUUUGAAAAUAAAAAAGUAGCAAAAUAGAGAUAUCGAAAUUACUCGAUAGAGAAAUAUUUUACCUAUCUUCCAGCCACAAUUUUAUCAAUCGGAAAAGGAAAAGGGUCUUAGAAAAUGUAUAGGCCAAGUUGUAUGGGAGAAAUGAACUAUUUUGAAAAAAAUAGAGAUUUUGCAAUUUUUGAACCUGACGUCGGAUUUUAGACAUGGAUGUUAAAAUAAUUUUUUUCUCUGUUGGCUUCCAUCAGUCACUUUUUUAAAAUGUGAAUGCGUCGUAACAAAACUUUCAUUAUCGAAUUUUCCAAACAAUCUGCUGUCAAAACAUUCCAGAACCGAUCAUAGAAAGCGCUGUAGUCAAAUGAGCAGUGCGUCUAGAUUCUAUCUGAACCAUUCAUAGAUUUUGUAAUAAUACAAUUAUUUAUCAUAAAAACAACUAUCACAUUAGAAUGGGGGAAAUCAAAGAAAAGGUAUCAAGGUUUCUUUGUAUGAGUUUGAAACCACCGAUACUAUUAGUUUGAUCUUUUCAAAAUUUCAAGAUUUUUUGGUGGUUGAAUUUUUGAUUAGAAUUUUUUUUUAUAAUUUGUUUAUAGUGACUUUCAUCACUUUUGGCUGGUUCGUCACUUUACUUCCAUUUUUGGAAGAAUCUCAGGAGUGAGAAUUGAACACCUGACCUAUAGCGUGAGAGGUAUGGAUGUUACCACUACGCCAGAUCGCUUCCCUGAGUAUGCUAAAUUGGAUAGUUCUUCAAAUAGAUCAGAUGUUGAUAUGUUUAGUCUUAUGAAUUUGAAGUGUUUGUAACACAAUCAUCGAUUUCAUGAAAAUUAAAAAAAUCCAGACGGUGAAAAUUAGGGAAAAAUAGUACGUUUAAUCCUCGAAACAUUAUAAAAAAAUCAUAAAUAUAAAAAAAAACACGUACGAACACAUUUCAAAGCAGUACUGUGUCUCAAAAUUUCAUUUGAAAAUUACGAAAUUUCAAAUUACCAUAAAAUUGUACCUCACAACCUCAUCUCUAAAAUUCUGAAAAAAUCUCACAUCAAAACCACAUACAUUUAAAUGAAAAUUAUGUUUUAAUGAAUUUAAAAAUCAAAAAAGACGGGUGGGUAAUGUCGGAGACAUAACCGAAGAGACGUUGGACUUUUGGUCGGAACCAUUUGAGGAGCACGAAUUGGACCAAUCAAAACGAGGCACAUAUUGCGUUUGGACAAUGCUUGACAUUUAAACAAUAUUCAAUUGUUUAUCUGAAGAAAAAUAUAAUGUUAUUCAUUCUUAUAGAUACGUAGUCCUAUGUGUUUUGGGCCCUUUCAAAUAACUUUUUUUUUUAUUUUCUUUAAACUAAUUUAUUUUACCCAUACAAGUUGUACAGGGUCUGGCCUAUAACUUUUCUCAGAAUUUUCCAACUGUGGAGGCUAUCUGGCGUAGUUGUAACAUCCAUACCUCUCACACAGAGAUCACGAGUUCAAUUCUUACUCCCGACAUCCUUCCAAAGAUGGAAGUAAAAGUGACGAACCAGCCGAAAUGUGUUGAAAGUCACUAUAAUAGAGAAAAAAAAAAUAAUUUGCCAAAAAAGCCAUCUUGUUGGUUUGUGGUUCAUUCUGGCUUAAUGCAAUUUCAAUGUUUAUUUCACAGCCUGCUACACAGAAUUUUAGUUUUGAAGCUGUUGUCAGCUUUCCGAAUGACACGGUAAUUUUAUAGUCGAUAGAUUAUUAUUUUCUGCAUCCAGAGGUGAAUAACCUUACCUCGCCACCAUUCAUGUUGCUGAUCAGAAUACCACAAUAUUCGCUACUGCCCUGUUUGGCUAGUAGAUUGAGACUGAGAGUGACAACCGCUGACCCGUUGCCGAAAGUCAUGCAGGCCGGAGUUCGAAAGUCUCGUGCAUGAACUACGCCAUUGUACGGCGAAGUAAGCUGGAUUCGGAUAUUCAUCGCAUUAGAUUUACAUGUCGCCGUAACAUGUGGAGCAAAUUCUAAGUCUUGACAAAGGACCUGAAAGAAGAAUAAAAAAUUAUAUAUUGAUUAAAAUGGAUCUUUUCAUAUUUUGAAAAAAUUAAUGCAGUAUUCCGCUGUAAUAACGUUUUUAUUUGGUUGUUAAAAAAUCCCUUUGAAUGACAAGAAUGACAAAUUUUGAUUUUAAAAACUAGUAACAUCAACAUGGUAAGUAUUACAAACAUAAACAUAUUAAUGGUGAGUUUAUCAUUCAUUUUAGUUAUUAAUCUCAUUAAUCUAUUCUUUCUUUUCAGGUCCUAUAGAAACCCUAUUGAAUCUAACAAUUGUUCAAAGUAAACACUCAUGUUUAAUCUUCUCCAGUAAUUUUUAUCUAUCUGCUUCGAUCGCUCUGGAUUUUAAUGCUUUGAUUAGGUCGAUAUUUGUAAGAAUCGCAUGAUUUUACAUUAUUUAAUUUAAUAAAAUAAAUUUGAACGCAUUGAAGACGAUCUACUGUUCUUUGGUGCGCAGUAUACUGGAGUAUGCUGCUACUGUCUGGUGCCCAUACUACACAUCGCACAUAAUCAGUAUUGAACGCAUACAGAGGAAGUUCAUACGGUUUGCACUACGUCAACUUCCAUGGAAUGAUCCUAUCGAUCUUCCUCCUUAUUCCGACCGUUGCCAACUGAUCGAUUUGGAGACCCCAUCCAGCAGGAGGGUCAAUAUGCAGCGCUUAUUCGUCUUCGACUUGCUACGAGGCAAUGUUUACUGUUCUGAACUUCUGGAACAAAUCUCGUUCUAUGUUCCACCUCGACGUUUCCGGAGUUUGUUUCUGUUGGCACUUCCCCUUCACAGAACCAACUACGGCUACCUCAAUCCGUUCGACUCGUGUCUUCGCGCGUUAAAUAAAAUCAGUGACGAAUUUGAUCUGAAUAUGUCCAAAAGCACAUUUAAAAUUAAGACAAACAAUAUUGUAUAGGUUAUUAACCAUUAUUCAGUCUGUACGUCUAGGACGAAGACGGUGAUAAAUAAAUAAAAUUUAACUGUGAUAAAUAUUUUCUAAACUUUGAUUUUUACUUUGAAAAUUAUAUCAAUAAGGCGUCGUGCACAAAUUACAUAACGCUAAAAAUCUGGAUUUUGGACCCCCUCCCCCUACGUAAGGCAAUUUCCCAUCUCUAAUACACAGUAAGUAACACAACCUCAAAACCCUAUCAUGAACUUAUGAGGAGAGUUCGUACGAAGCAUAGAUGCAGCUGUCAAGCAGUAUGAGAGCUUUGAAGAGCUUAAACGAGCAGUAUCUUCUGCGUAGACCGAGCUACAACAUAGCGCAGCAUGGCCGAAACUACCCCGAAUGGGUUAAUUGAACUGAUAAAGAAUUAAGGUUACCUACGAAUUAGAAAUUUUUAGUAAUUCAUGUGAAAUUGAUGUUAAUUUUUGAAAGGAGUGUGAGUUUUUCCAUCUGGUUAAAUAGUUAUGAAACGCUGGAAUUUGCCUGGACACAACAAUAAAAUUCAAAUGACCAGUCUUAUAAAUGAAGAUAGUUAUUCUAUCCAACACUAGAUAUUUCAAUUUAACCAACUUCUUACAUAUCUCUGGAAGCUCAAAAAAAUGGAGUGGUUCUAUAGCUGUGAAAAGCAGUGUAUUCAUGUAUCGUGUAAAACCUCUGUGAAACAACUCAGCAUUAGGAAAGAUUGUUGUUUGCUCGCUAGCAGGGUUUAGACUUACAUUUGGAAUCACGAAUGCGUUAUUUAUACUAAAUUAACUCUUUGUGGUCGUUUGUCUGCUCUCAGACACCAUACCUUUUUUACCGUUCUGGUGGUUUGUCUGCUCUCAGCAACCACAGCAACAAACCAUGCUAAUCUUAUAUUUUACUCAACCAAGUAUCAAUUCAUGAUCUUCCUAAACGAAGCUGUGAACCUGUUAACGAAUCAAUACGGUGCUCCUAUGAGUAAUAGAAAACGGUACUCAGUAUCAAACAAAGUAGUUACUCACGCAAGACACCACACAGUGCUUUGAAUAGGAAUUUGGGACAAAAAUCAUAACAGCAGCAUUUAGCCAUUGUAACACUUUGGUGUAAUGGAAAAAAUUGUUCAUAAGUAUCAGAGCUACUGUUUGCAUAAAUGUUUCAUGUUAUUUGAAUUAUGGCAUAAGUGUCUCAAGCGACAAAAUCUUUGUUCACCUCGCACUAAGACGAAUUAUAAAACAGAACUCACAUUUAAACACAUUGUUAAGUUAAUUCAUAUAUAUAGUCCACAAAAAAAUAUUUAUUUUUCAUAAUCUUGCAUGUAUCACUGCUUUACCAAAGAAAAAUUAUUCCGAGCAGUACGACACCCAUGCCCAAAUUUAAUACGACCGCAAAGGGUUAAAAAAGAGGGAGCUUAUAUUGCAAGAUUUUCUCUCCACGAUGCCCAUAGAACGAAUGCUGCAUUUAAUCCGCAGUGGUAUUUGAAUAUAUUGUAUCUCACAUAUGCAUAGGACUACCGUUGUCUUUGUAAUCAUUUGUUUGUAUUGAUUAAGUUAUUGAUUGAUUGAAACAAUUCCCGAAUUAAAGUGAAUUCAACAUAAUAACUAUGUAAGUAGUAAUCCUAUAUUAGGUCAAUUCAUGCAUUAUGAUAGAUCACGUUCUUCGUUGUAAGUGAAUUGAAUGGAAUAAAUCUGAGCGUACGUUAUCCUUUUACGUAUGAGAUUAUACCUUGGUCAUUUCAUUUAUCGUAGGCGUAAUCAUCGAGAAGUUCAGUAAACUGAGGAGAUGAGGGCAUAUUUUUUCAAUUCCGUCUUGAAUAGCCUGGCCAGAGCGUUGUGUUCGUAUAUGCGGAUACAAUACAUGCGGGUACAAAAGUACUCCUCACUUGCAUGAAUCAAUAACUUCAACUUCAACUUUUCAUACUACAGAAGCUUGAAACUUGAAAGUUCACUUGUCUCUAGUAUCCGUAAAGACGAUUUUCCCAGGUUCCAGGAGUUCUGAGUACGUGUUGGUGAAACACAUACCGUUUUGCACAAAUGCAAGCGAGUAAUAAAGUUUAGCGUGUUAGGUAAUACUUGACAUUUUACAAUUAUUCAAUUGUUUAUCUCAAAAAUAGAAGCGUAGGAAUAUAUCAUAUCAUUUUUUUAAUUUUUAUCAGAGAGGCUUUAAAAAAUAAUUUCAUUCGCCUCUAAUCAUAUCAAUUGAUGCAAACAUCUUUGCUCGAGUUAUAAGCAUUCGAAAUCUUCCAUUUUCUCUACGUGUUCAUUGUUAGGAUUUUCAUUUUUCUCUCCCAUAUGUUCUAGUUAGACGUAGUCCUACGUCAAAAAGAUCGUUGUUCCCGAAAGAUUAUCCUCGUUUGGCAGCAAUAUGUAGCUGCGGACUGAAAUGUUACUCUUUAAGAAGAGAUUGCUGCCUUUUCUGGAGUAGCAUGAGGUUGCUGCUUUCGACAACUUCGACGUCACUGCCAAUAACAAUAGCGUCCCGAUGGUCCCCAAGGAAUGGUAUCAGUUGAAGAGAAAAUCAAAAUUCGACUGCUAAAAAAAUCGAAAAACAGCAAUCGUUACAAAUCAAGGAUAAAACCAUGGUUUAAAGCAUAAAACCUAGUAAUGUACAACCGAAGUACUGAAAAACAAACAAAUAAAACGUAUAAUUUAACUUGAACAAGAUUUUCGUAUCCACAUUUUUUCGUCCUCAACUUUUUUACCAAAAGUAAGAUUUAACUUGUAUCAUUAGAGGCGAAUGAACUGGAAAGUUUAUAGCCUUUUAAAAACAAAGAACCGAACAGAACUUGUUUCAGGGAAAUUCAACUGAUACAACUUAGUUCGAUGGUACGAAGUAGUACUAUGGUUAUUACAGGGAACGAAAUGGAAAUAUCAGCUGGAACGGUAAUUAUAUCAAGUUUCACGUACAAUGAAACAUGAUUGUAUGGAGUACAAUAACGAAUCUUGAAAACAAUAUCAAAAAUUUAUCACCAAAUCUAUAUACAGUGACUCAAACUCGAAUUCGUACCCCACCAUGCAGAUCUUUUUUCACUAUUUUUGAAAGUCGAAAACAAGCUUUCGAAACUUUCUUAAGAUGAUGUUACAUACAUCAUUUUAAAACUUAAAAAAAGCCUUCAGCUUUCGGAUUAUUUUUCAAACAUAUUUUUGUCUCGGAUAAAAAUAUCGGGAAGAAAAGUCAACAGCAAAUCCAUUCAACCUUAUCAACCAGCUUUCAUUUGAUCCCUAUAACGUUUCUGUAGGAGCUUUCAACACAGAGAUAUUUGUAUUCGAAUGCCAAGAAGUUUCCCUUCGUGUUUGAUGAUGUGUGUGAGGCAUGCAAUUAAUUGUUAAUAGGAGAAAUGCGUAUGUAUACGUGUGAGUAGCAUCUCUCCUCGCAAUCCUCAUAUGAAAACGAAAGUUAAGAAUCGUUUAUUCUGAGACUAUGCAUAGCAUUUUGAACUUCUGGUACCGUAUUCGUUGAAGGACUCCUUUAAUUUACUCCAAACUUUGAUCGAUCGGCUAAAAACGACUGAACGUAUUAAUAUGAAACGUUCACAGUUGUUUUAGAGAUACACUAGCCUAAAAAUUUCUCUGCUAACAUUGAAUAUUUGCAAAAUUACAGAUAAUUUUCUAAAGGCCCUGUUUUUGACCCUUUUUUACAAUUGAUAUAAGAUUUUUUUUGUCGAAGCAACAAAUUAAAGUUGUGCAGAAUUUAUUUGAGUUUUCAAAACUACUUUUAGGCUUGCGGUGCGUUUGCGAUGUUUAUUAAAUUAUUCACCGUCAAAGAGGGUAACUUUUCAUCCAAACAAAACUAUCUCUGUAUGGCAAGGUUCUACAUUAACGUUAUAGUAAUCAAAUGAAACCUAGUUAAAAAGAUAAUUUGGAUUUGCUAUUAAGUUGGUUAGCAAAAAAUUGGGUUAAUCCACAAAAUCUUUGAAAAAACAGAAAAAAAAUGUUUUUUGUCUUUUCUCGAUAUUUUUAUCCACUUCAUCUACACACAUCAAGAUAAUAUGUUCGUAUAAUAUUUCAAAAGCUGAGGAUUUAAGCUUUAAAAUGAUGUAUAUAUCAUUAUCUACAUAGAAUGUUUCGAAAGAUUGUUCUCGACUUUCGAAAGUAGAGAAAAGAGAUCUGCAUGGUGGGGUACGGCUUCGAGUUUGAGUCACUGUAUAUCAGUUCUAUUUUGUUGUUAUUUAUUAAGUAAAUGAUAUUAUAAAAACUGGACCGCGAUCGUUUUAGAUGCGGCUGGCACACAAUAAGAUAUGCUACGACGAGAAAAGUCAGUCACGCGACCUGGAUAGAAGGAAAAGCAACGAAAGCUCGCUCUCAGCCCACUUCCAUUAUUUCGUCACAGGCUGUUUCCAUCUUUGUCAUAAUCUCACUUGUUCUGGGCAUUAUAGUUUAAUAUUUGGGGAAGCUACGGAACAAGCUGGGUUUAAAUUUCACACCGGCAACACUUCGCCAAUUUCUACCAACAGGUGAAGAAGAAAUUUAAAACAAUUGAAUUUAACGCGUUUGAAAUGAAAGUGGGGUGGGAACAAGAGUCUAUGGAUUAGCAGAGGGUGAACGAUUUGAAGUUAGAGAACUUUUCCAUUUUCUGUGGAUGACUAAAUGUGAUUGAAACUAUUAGUCUCUUAAUUGAAUUGCUUUAUGAGUAAAUUUUCGUACAAUCAUUUUGUUCUGCGAAGGUAAUGAACCGAUCGAGCCUACCUAUAUUGUUAAUCUCUAGGUAAUUGAUGUUUCGCAAAUAAACCAAUGAUUGUCACUUAAAGAUAAGCGCACCUCAAACCUACGACCCUCAGCGGUCCAUAAUUGAAUACUAUAGAUUUAAAUCCUGAUCCCAAAAAUGUAUGACAAUUGAUUGUUCAAAGAACAAAAUUGUUACGCGUAGCUCUAAUUGACAAGAUCAUCUGAAAAUGGUUUUCACUUUCAAUCUGCAAGCUGAAUUCGUUUGACAUAGAUUCACUGUUCACUGCCCGGAUGGUAUUUUCUUUGAAUUGAAAACAAAAAAAAACAAAACAUCAAACACAGGCAGUUGAGCGAUCAAACAACGCAAAAUGAAACGAAUUUAAUUACCAUUAAAAGCGUGAGCAUACGCCACAUGUAGAGCUAUGUAACUCAUCCAUUCAGCGAGAUUCUAAGUUGAGCUCAAACCUUGUAACUGUGGGGGCGAAAAUAUAUCGAAACGAUUCUUUUUCACUAUACUGUUUAUACUUUGUAAUCAUCAGUUAAUUCGUGUUCAGGGAGAAAAUUUUCUUCGCGAUUGUUUGUCACAUUCUGAUUAGCACUUGAGACAGAAAAUAUGCCGAAAAAUGAUGCAAUAACACAUGAUGCAAUGAUGCAAUAACACUAUCCUUUAAGAGUUUGGAAUAUGCUCAGGUGCAUAUAAAUAAAUUACUGAAUUACUGAAUUGUUGAAUAAAUUACCGGAUGCGUUUCGUCUUACUUUACGUCAGAUGGAACUUAAAUCUGUUCUGUAAUGUGCCGUUGACUCAUGUUUGCGUUUGCUUACCAAUCACAAGCGUACCGUUCUCUCUGCAUUUAAGCUAAUUAACAUUAGCUUAAUCAUUAUCGACUACAAACAAAAACCUUCUUUUCUGCCAACUAUCGACAUGCAUUAUCGCUAAAUUUGAGAGACCAUCAUGGGCAGGUACCGAAUUAUUUGAAAACCUGAUACGUAGGUCCACGUUGUGACAGUUCUUAGUGUGAUUAUUUGUUUACUGAGAAAUGCUAAGCUAUAAGUUUGAACCACUAAUCAUGAAUCAGACUGAAGAACAGGAAAUGUUACUCAGAAUAACAAUGCGGGCUGAAUGCCUCACUUGCAUUCUUAUUAGAUGAUGUAGCGUUUUAUUUACCUGCCCCAAUGGAAUUCAAAGUGAGAAACAACUAAAGUGUGUGUGUGUGUGUGUGUGUGUCUCGAAUGAAUUGAUGAAUUGAUGCUCAAUGAGCACAUAUUUCAAUUUUUCUAAGAUUGUUUAAGGAAUAACUGGUGCUCGAAUAAAUACAUUAUAAGAGUCAUACUAUUAUGUUCCCUUGGCCAAAGGUUUAACGUCUUCUUCUUCUUCUUCUUCUUCAAUGGCACUAACGUUCCUAGAGAAACUUCGCCGGCUCAACGUAGUAUUACUUGCGUCAUUUUUAUUAGUACUUAGUUGAGAUUUCUAUGCCAAAUAACACGCCUUGAAUGCAUUCUGAGUGGCAAGCUCUAGAAUACGCGUGAUCACAGUGCAAGUCGGAGGAAAUUUCUUUGACGAAAAAUUCUCCCGACCAGAACGGGAAUCGAACCCGAACACCCGGCAUGUUAGUUAUGACGCUAACCACUCGGCCACGGGAGCACUGUAAACGUCACACCUAUCAUUAGGGGAAGUGAGGGCAUAAUGGUCACCCUAAGAAAUAUGCCCAUUUCCCGCGUCCACAUACCGGUCACUCGCACAUAUCAAGCUAAAUGGGAUAAAUUUAUGCGUUUUUUUCGUCAAAAUUUGUUCAAAUCAUAUUUGAUAUAGUAUGUACAUGUAUGAAAUAAGCUUGGCCUAUUCAACUAGAGUCUUAAUUUAAAUUUUCUCAUGCAUACAAAAACGUAGUAAAGAACACAUAACGUUUUCGUAAUGAGGCUUCGUUUAGUUGGAGUGGAAUAUUUAUCCAGGAUCAAAGUCACAAAAGAAUCUUCUUCAAGAGCAGAAUGUGUUGCGGUAUAUCAGCUUUAGUAAACAGAACAUUGUAAGUCAUUAUUCACCUAUGACACAUUUACCCCCAAACAUCAGAGCAAUUUCUAUGCUAUUUAAUCGCUGAGAUUCAACAAAAUAUCUGUUCACCUCUUCUAGAAUAUGUGAACAGUCGUCCAAACUGAUGAUUUGUCCAAUAUAUCAGAUUGAAUAAACUGAAUUUCACGAGAAAUUCCUUAGAUACCAUGCGCACAGAUUCUCGGUUGCGUUACUUUCUGUAUAUUAGAGACAGGAAAUUGCGUUAUGUAGGGGGGGGAGGUGGUCCAAAAUCCGGAUUUUUAGCGUUGCGUAAUUUGUGCACGAUGCCUUACUCCCCAGACCACACCCCUAGCGACUAUCACGCUACGCACUUCGCGCUCGGAAUAGAAAAACUCGUGCCACGCUUUGAAAAAUGCCUCGAACGUUACGGUGCUUAUGUAGAAAAAUAGAAAAUAAAACGUAGAUUACGAAAAUCACCUUGUUUUUUGUCCUAACUUUAUUUUUCCGCGAUUUCUGAGGCACUGAAACUUAUUUUUUGAACGACCCUCGUAUCUUUGGAAACUCAUGUUUCCCAAAACUUUGAUGCAGUUUCUUUCAAUUCAAUCUACCGUUUUUCUAUCUAAUUAGCCAAAUAUUUUACAAAAAAAAUGUUGUUCAAUGUUUUUUACUAAAAUUAAAACAGACCGAAAAGCACAACAUUUUUUUCGAUUCGGGUAUAAUGGACAUGUAGUGGGGGUAAUAUGGACAGGUUUGUAAUAUAUGAAGCGUAGAGGUUUAUCGAUCACGUGAGGAAUAAUUUUAUUCAACCAAGGUCUACACUCAUCACGAAUGUCCGUUAAAUAAUGAAAAAAUCGAAUGAUUCCACCUAUCGUGCUUUUCAGCAGACCCUCAAUUAUUUUGCUUUUGGUUCCAGUCAGCUUCAAUUUGAUUUCCUUCAAUUUUUCCGUCUACGCAGAGCAUUCCUUAGGAAUAGAUUAAACAGACUUUUCAUAGUUCAUUCCACACUCACUGGCAACUAUCCGUUUUACCCCACCAGUAUAAUUAUUUUAAUAAUUUAAAUUUUUCCACUCAAAAAUGAAUUUACUUUUCCGUACAUACCUAAUAUCGCUUCUCUAAUAACUCACAAACCGAAAUAUAACCAUUAGCGAAUUGAAUUUUGAUAUUAAACCACUCAAAAUGCUUAAUAUCGAAGCUGCUAAAAUUACAUCCUCACGCGGAAUCAUGUAUGAUUUUUUUUUUGUUUUCCUUUUCCACUUUUGAUCAGUAUUCAUUGCCAUAGGGUGGCUUAAAUAUUAUAGAAUAACAUGUAGAAGGUGUUCUCAUUAACAGAAAUCGGAAAUUCAAAAAGUAACUAUACAAAUCAACCACCUGUCCGUAUUACCCGCGUUUCCCUGGGCAAAACGUUUUCCCAUACACCUACUCAGUGGGACUAGACGAAACACAUCCUACGAAAGGAUAGAUUCUGCGGAACGUUAUGAACCGUUUCGACCCCCACGAGUUACGAGUAACAGAUUUGACGAGUGAAAAUAGGUUGGGAUGAAACGAUACCGAAAAUGCUUUGUGAGUUUGUGUAUUUCAGUAUUCCGGUUCGGUUCCAACGAUCACAACUAUCGCCAGUUAGUUGCAUCUAGUAUUGAUGAAAUCAGGGCCCGAAAUCUUCGAAGGUGAAAAAUGAGGACCGACUCUUCUCUCAGUAGCUUCGCUUCGACUAGAACUGCUUCGGCAGUCGCCGGCAACAAAAAGUGACUUGACUAGAAAAUGAACUCAUUAGCGUCGACUGCGAAGAUGACUGGUGAACUAGUCCAGUCUGUGGUUAUUUUAACUGACUCGACUAAUGAAUACAAAUCUGCCUCUUCAUUCAACUGACUUCAAUCCACACUUCCAUUUCCCCCUGACACCUAAUUCAUACCCGCGUACGCAAUAUUAUUUUUACGUUCAUAUAAAGAGGAACGAAAACAUGAUUUCUAAUUCAAAAAAGAAAUUACCCCAUCAAUGGACGGUUUAUUGUCUACCCAUCGUGCAAACCAACGAACUUAGACGUUCAUCAAGUAUGCUAUAAAGGUCCUCGUGUUAGUAUUAGUAAAUAGUGUGCAAAAUAGCGCACACACACUGAACGCUAUUUCAUACGUGUGAGUAAUUUUCGUGUACGACACAGAAUAAUCUAGCUCACCUGUAACGUAUGUCAAACCACGUUGAGCUCAAACAUCGAUACAUGCACACGUACAUGGGAAAGAGAAAGAGAGGAAUGAAUUCGUUUUGGGGGAAGUCACUUCAAAAUGCAAUGAGGACAAUUUGACUAGGAAGAAUGAAAUGAUAUAGUCGAGUCGGUAGAGGGAGAUAGCGACUAAACGCCCGGCUGUUUAGUCGUUUAGGCGGGUAUAAUCAGUCAGGUAGUCAGCCGACUAUCCUCAGUUGACUAUGACUAUACAGAGCCCUGGAUGAAAUAUUAUCGGAAUCGAAGGUGGAAAAAGAACGUUGGAUUCCAUCUAGAAAAAACGUAGCAGACGAAGCAUCGAAGUGGGGAUGACGAGUGGUCGUUGAAUGGCCGUUAGUAUAACGGGCUAGAAUAUCUCCAGUUGCCGGAGGAACAAUGGGGCGACUUCCAUUGACUAUGCGUCUUCGAAUUUCACGGUUGUUGUUGUUGUCAGUUGUUAUCAACGAGCAAAGUUAGACAAAUCCCUCUACCACCUCAAACUCGUCGACGUUCAUCAGAACAACACUACACCCAAAUAGCGUUGGCAGAAAACAUUUCAUCAUUGGCAGAAAUAAUGCUUUUUCAUGUGCCGGAUGCGCAAAUAAUGAGAUGUUUUAAAAGUUUAAAAGUGUUUGUAUGUGUGGGAGCAGACAUCUCUUUCUUUUUUCAUCUCUUUUUGAUUGUACACAAAAAAAUAGUCCAAACGAUAUCAACGGGGAUCGAACCAAGGCCGACUGGAAUGCAAGACUGUUUUACAUAAGCACGCUAUCCACAUAGCUACUGGUGCUUUUGCUUAUAUGUGUAAUAAUAUUACAACUCAUUAUAAAAUGAAGUUGGAAAGUGUUUUCUAAGAGGAAAAAAUAGCAUAAACAAGAAUCUAUAUUUUUGACGUAGGAUUACGUCUUUCGGGAAGUUAUUGGGGUACAAAUUGAAAAACGAAUAUCGAUCGCAUCGUGAAAAAUGUCCAAUUUCAAACGCUUAUUGCUCAGUCAUUUCAUGACGGAUUGAUGAGAUUUUUACAUCAAAACAUUGCGGCACUCUAUAACAAUGUUUCACCUUGAAUAAAAUAAUAUAUAUCAUGUAAUUAACUAUCGAACAAUUGAAAAAUCUCAACCCCUAUCCAAACGGUACUGAUUGGUCGAAAUUGACGUCAUUUCUUUUUCGCCUGCUUCGCUUCUUUCGUUACCUGAUAAGUCAAAUAUUUGCAUGUCGAGCGAGUGGGGGCGCCUAUUUCUCACAUACCAACUGAUAUAAAAGGACGGUAGCAUUUUUCGAUUUCUCUCUCUCUCCACGGAAUAAUACAAAAUCUGUAUGAUUAUGCUACCUGAUAGUCGUUACCUUUCAAGGUCUAUCUACCCUUUGGGUUUGGGUAGAUAUAUUUAUUUCCAGUUAGAUAAGUAGUGUAAGUUGGGAUAAUGUAAAUAUUUUGGGGAGGGUAUCUUAUAAGUUAGAUAUAGGUAAAAAAAAAGGUAACAAAAAACUAGAAAAGUUUAGGCAUGAUUUUACAAUAGGAAUAUGAAACAAUCGAAUAAUGUGUAUGAUACAAAUCAUUACAAAACUUGACAUUACAACAUAAAGAUGUAGAACCCUAGGUUGAUCACUUGAAAUGUAGUAUUAUAUUAUAAUGUAAACCAAAUUAAGAAAUAAAAAGAAUUUAAGUGAAAAUAAAAAAAAAGUUCGAUUUCUCCAUUCUUUGUGUGGACACCGACUGGACAAUAUCGUUGCUGGACGAGCUGGACGGCGAGGGAUCGAGUGCCUUUCUCAAGGCAAGAGGGUGGAGGUGGUGGCGCUGGAGUAGAGUAGAGUAGAGUUUUCAAAGGGCGUUUCUCAAGGCUAGAGACGAAUGAACUGUAAAAGUUUAAAGUCUCUAUAAUACAAGACCUUCCUUCCUUCGAUUUCUCAUUCUCGUUCAACGCUCAGAUCGGCAAACAUAUGGGUUUCUAGUGUGCAGUGCUCUACAAAUCAACCAACACCAUACGGUGCGGCAAAGGAGAGGAAGCCAUCGACAACCAACGAUGGAUGCGGUGCGGCAAAGGAAGCAAAGAAGGAGAAGCAGCGGAGAGCAUCGAAUUAAAUCUAGUGUCCAUUGCUGGUGCGCUCCUCUUCACAUCAACAAUUGGAUGCGGCAAAGGAGGUAGAGAAGCGAAGUGCAUUGCAUCGCAUCGUAUCACACCCGCUAUCCGUCGUUUAGCUCGUCGUGGUGGUGCCAAUCAAACCCUCGCAAAUCGACGCACAGAAGCCGAUGGCGCCAAAGUCAAGGAAAGCAUCAGCGAAUCCGUAAAAGCUACCGCUCCCAAAACUGAACUUCUACAUCCGACUGAAACGCAGCAGAUUCCGUACAACCCAUUAAACCAUUCCAGUCCUUCUCAGGACUAUCAAUUUGUUUUGAAACAAAAGAGUUUAUUUUACUGUUUUCCACUUACCAAAAAAACUAUAUAAAACUAUGAUCAAAAAUACUGUUUAUUUUUACAUUUUCUACUAACAACUAACAGGGAACCAUCAUAUCACGUCUAGAAAUGCCUAAGGGGGUAUAUUGCAAUAAAUGUUCGUAGGGGUAUAUUGCAAUAACCGAUUCAUUCGAGGAAAUGUCUUUAAGUAUUCGAUUAAUCGAGCGAAUAUUCGUUGACAAGACAUCGAUAAAAGUUACGUCAAAUAUUAUUUUAAAUAAACAUCGAAGUGCUAAAUAAUAUUGACGUGGGAUUACGUCUUUCGGGAACAUAUUGGGGUACAAAUUGAAAAUCGAAAAUCGAGCUCAUCUUGAAAAUUGUCCAAUGUCAAACGCUUAUUGCUCAGUCAUUUCAUGAUGGAUUGAUGACAUUUUUGCGUCAAUAGAUUUCAAUACUCCAUAACAAUUUUUUAUAUUGAACAAAAUAUCAAACUAACUAUCGAACAAUGAAAAAUCUCAGCCCCUAUCCUAACGGAAAUACCCACUUCUGAUUCUGAAUUGACGACACAUGCGGCGGGUCCCCAACAGAGACAUCAAAACCAAGCUGUCUGGGGGAAAUCGGCAUUGCAAAUACAUGCACGUAGGGGGAUCUUUUGUUCUUACCGAAAUGUGUUCCCUAACAGAGACAUCAAAACCAAACUGUCUGGGGGAAAUCGGUACAGAAAAUUCAUAAAAGUAGGGGGAGCUUUUGUUCCUACCGAAAAAUAACAGAGAUAUCAAAACCAAGGUGCAGCGCCCCUUUAAAUUAAUUCUCAUCUCAUCAGACAUUUUUCUAACCAGACAAUAUGAGAAUCCAAUAAAGGAUUCUACAAUAAGAAUAAGCAACAUAAGAAUGCCGGAAUUUUCCAUACAGAUGGAAAAUUCCAUGAAUACGAUAGGCAGCAGUAAAUAAAUAAAUAGAACGGAGGUAGCAGAAUAGGAAAACUCUACCUAGAGUUUGUCGGUAGAAAUUAAGACAUUAAUGUUAUCGUGAAGAGAAGUAAAAUAAAGAAAAGGGAGUCGAUCGUGAGCCACGCAGGAGAACGGUGGUGUCUCCUGAAAACCAAGAAGUUGUGUUUUUUGUAUUUUAGAACAUAAGAAUGCCGUGAGGCCGCUCGGGGCGCUGUGCAUUUGGUGACAGCGGUGGGAUGCUGUCCAUUAUUUGAAAGCUAUCGCGAGUGCUUACGCGACUUCAACUCAAAAUGAAGUGACAAAAGUGAUUGCUCCAGCAGAGAGUAAUUUUCGUGUGUAAUCCAAAAGACGUUUGGCGCAGUUCCCAAAAAAAUUCAAAGGAGUUUCCAAAUAGUGUAUAAAGUGUUGACAAACAGCAGGUCUUGAGUACCGCAGACGCGUAUGAUCGAAUGCGUGGAUGAGGCGCUCGAAUAAGAUCAAACAAAUGUGUCAUUUAGAAGAUGCGCUUACACAGUAGAAUGCGUGAACAGCUCAAGUGCAGUAGUUGGGAAUAGAAGCAGUUUAAUGAAAGUUGUAUUAAAAAUGAACGUGAACGAGAGACCACGGUCGGUGGCGGCGACCGCAGGCCGGCGGGAUUUGGUGUGCAGUCAUAAUGCCGUGAUGUUAGGAGUGGACGAGCUGCCGGCAAUAUUUUGGAUGAAGGAAGACAUUAUUAAAUAUAAGGUAAACCUAGUUAAGCUAGUUAAAUAAUGUUAUACAAAAUAUUUGUAAAAGUAUAGUAUUUAAAAAAAUGAAAUCGCUGAUGCAUUUGAAACGAUGCAAUCAGCAGUUUUACGAGCGAGAAAAAAAAUAGUUUAGGUUAUUAGUGUAGGUUAUUCAAUAACAAAAAAAUACAAGAGGCAAACUUGAUGGAAUUAUUUACGUUGGACAAUAAAAUUAUUUUCUCUCCAAUUCUGUAAAAACUGCUUAUUUAGUUUGAAAAACACCAUUCAUGCCUCCCAUACUUCAAUAGUAUGUACAGGGUAAUAUGGGGAAAGUACAUAUCGAAUUAAAAAAAUGCGUGAUUCUUUCUUACACACACGCUUUGAAGUGGGAUUUUUAGAAAAAAUGAAGAUAUUGAGUCGUAUAUGUCUAAAGCCAAAUAAUAACGAGAAUGAGUCCAUCAAUCGCUAAAAUAGCUUUUGAAUGUACCGAAGGGCUGGAAGGCCAGGAAUUCAUUCCUGUAAGGACAUGUAUAAAUCGAUAUUUACAUAAAAGUUCACGAGAAACUAGAAAUGUGGGAUAUAACGAUGAUAUUGACGAAUGAUAAAAAAAAAACGAAGUAGCACUAUAAAAGCGAAGAAGCUAUAUAUUCAAGAAAAUUAAUAUAAUAUAUGAAAUAAGAAAGGGAUUUUAAUAAACAUAUUGUACGAAGAGGCUGUAAAAGCUCUACUAUGUUAAUCGAUAAGACUUUUGGGGACAUUUCAAGGAGAUAUGAUCGUUCUUAUUUUUUCAUUUUUAAAUUGGCGGAAAUUACAGAAUUGAAGGAAUAAUUAUUCAAAUAGCAUUCCGAAAUUAAGAACAGUAACUGAACAUUCGUCUGUUUAGGGAAAUCGGAACAGAUUGAAUAGAUCAUAAUGAAUCGUUUAUCAACACACCACACAUCACAAUAUAUCAGCAUAUUGUGGAUGCUGUCAGAGUUGAAGGAAUUUUUAUUAAAAUUACAUCCGGAAUAUAAGAAUAUAAACUGAAGAAAAUAUUGUUAACGAUUUUUCGACAUGUCGAGCUCAAAUCACAUUGAGUAGUGUUCUGCACUAUUUUACUAUUUUUUUUUAUCAGGCGGCAACAUCACUUUUCAUACUGUUUCAUUGUUUUGUGAAACUCCCAACAAUUGACAUACAAAAAAAAAAUCGGAUUAGUAUAAUUUUAUCAAUUCACAUACAUUAGUAUAUUAGGGAGUUAGGAUAUAUACAUAUAUUAAAGUGAACUAUCAUUUUUGAAGAAAACUCACAUAUACAUUUACAAAACAAUUAUAAAGUAAUAACAUAUAAAAAAAACAAAAAAAAAUCAAGAGAAACAUAGUUAUAUAGAUAGAUAUUAUGACAAACAAAAAUAUAUUUUUACAACUAUACACAAUUAUAAAAAAACAGGAAGUGGGUUAUAUCUAUGGUAUAACCGCAAGGGUGACGUAGGACUAUCGUUGAUUUAGAGAUCAUUUGUAUGAAGUUGAAUCUGAAUUCAUUCUGAAUGAAUGAAUAUUUGGAGAACUUCGAAAACGAGAGCGUUACGUUGGAGGCACAAGGUUUUAUGCAUCCAAUAUUGGAUACGGAAAUAUCCUACUGAUGGGGAAGAAUAAUCUUCAGAAGCUAUCCUGUUGAUUGCGAUCGAUUGAAAAAUCACAAAACCUAAUUUUUUUUUUCCCAAAAUAUAUUUUUUAUUAAGGCACAUGUGGCGUUAGCCUGACGGGGCCGGGAGUCCAAUAUUUUGACAAUUUUUGUCUUAUAACUAUGUUAGUAAUAUGUAACCGAUUACUCGCGGUUGGCUCGAGGUUAGUAUUACAAGUGUUCUCAUAAUUGGUAUGUUGCAGUCUUCGAUGCUCUGUACGUGUGCCCGACACGGGCUACUUCCUAUUGGGAUGGAGCUGACCAUUAAUCAGCAACGCUCCCUAGUCUGUACCCCAUAUCUAGCGUGGUGCGUCUUUCUCGACUCGAGGAAUCCAGGAUAGAAUGGUCACUAGCCGGCGCAAUCAUCAGCUCGUGUAGAGUUGUCAUGAGCGGUACAACCUUUGGCUCUUGUUGAAUGAUCAGUGGACUGCACAACCUUCGGCCCGUGCAUCUGUAAAGAGUGUGUGUGUAUGUAUUGCCGCGACUAAGUAAAAGUUUAUCGAUCGGAUAGGAGGGAUAUGAAACGGGGACACAACGAAGGAAACAUCAUUAAACGUUGACAUCGGCGUUUCUGAGGAACAGGUAUAGAUGAAGCAGAAGAUCAGGAUCCCGGCUACCUAAGAUAUCCCGGACGGGGAUAUCCGAUUGUCUGCCUUUUGCUCUCAGUGCUCUGGAGAGCUGAGAGCGAGCAGCAUGGAACCGGAUACACGACCAGACAACAUGCUCGAUGUCGUGGUAGCCAUCGCCACAAUCACAAAGAUUGUUUGCUGCGAGCCCAAUGCGAUAGAGAUGCGCGUUUAGGUUGUAGUGAUUGGACAUAAGCCGAGAUAUCACGCGAAUGAAAUCACGACCUACAUUCAAUCCCUUGAACCAUGCACUCAUCGAGACCUUAGGGAUAAUCGUGUGUAACCAACGACCGAACUCAUCUCCACUCCACAUGCGCUGCCAACUAACGAGUGUGUAUGGUCACAGUGUUACAUGGAUAGAAAACAUUCAAUUAUACUCAUUCACAUGAAUAUAUUUUGAAAAUUCCCAGAGGAACUGGCAGAUUAUUUUCAGUAACGAUUAGUUAGUUUCAGUAACGAUUAGAUAUAUCCACAUUUUCCUCGAUACUGGAAUGCCAACUCGAUAACCACCUGUUAAUAGCACUUGAUUGAAACAUAUUUGGUCACAGUGUUACAUGAAUAGAAAACAUUCAAUUAAACUCUUUCACAUGAAUAUAUUUUGAAAAUUCCCAGAGGAACUGGCAGAUUAUUUUCAGUAACGAUUAGAUAUUUCCACAUU